GCCCGGUUAGCUCAAUCGGUAGAGCGUACGACUCUUAAUCGUACGGUUGCGGGUUCGACCCCCGCAUCGGGCU
rnacentral:tRNA from 1 species